UUGGAUAAGGACUUUCUGGAGAAGCUGUUGCAUAGGCUGGUUGGAGCUUCCAUCUUAGAAUGGAGCGUCCAAUAAUGAUAUCGUGCCAUUCUUUUUAUCAAAAUUAAGUAGGUUUCAACAAGUGACGUUGUCUUUCAGGAUAAGAAGGAUGGAACGAAGGGUUAGUAACCUAGUUUGGAGAAGGACGUCAUUUUGUAGUUGCUGGCCUGCAAGAAGCGCGAGACAUCAGGGCUAGAAAUAAUGGUCGCGCCACCGAUGAGGCCAGAAUCGUUAGACUUAAAGACAUCAAAACUGAGAAUCCAGGGAGGGUCCCAUUGAUCAAUGGUAAGUGCUCUUUGGGGAAGAGGGUGAGAGGAAUGAGGGGUCAAAGGAGCAAGAAAUCGACAGAACAAAAUUGUUGAUGAAAAGGAAGUUACAAAAGUGGUUAGGGAUUUUUUUUAAAAAAUGAGAUCAUUUCUGGUUUUCCAAAUGAUCCAGAGUGACCAAGUAGUGAGGGUAAUGAAAGAAUUGGAUUCCUGAGAAUUGACGUUGUUAGUGUUGAGCCAUUAGAGAAGCCAACGAGAAACAGAUAAGGAAUUAAAAGAUUCAGAUUGAAUCGUGAGGGGGAACCAAACCAAAUCUCUCUUGCAAAAUGACAACGGAGAAAGAGAUGUUCUGGAGUUGCAGAUUUUUCAAAGGAAGACAAUGAUCUUGAAGGAGAAUUUUUUUUGGUGAUUUACAGCAAAGCUUGAACAACAAACGCGACUAGUACGAUUUGAACACAGGUCACACUUGGGGUGGUGAACAUCCUUGACCAUCAAGCUAUUACAGAGUUCAUCUUGAACGAAAAUUUGAGCCUCCAUAGAUUAUGCCAAUUCUUUUACAGAUUAUGAGAAUGGGGAGAGGGUGAAUUCAUUUUGUAGAAGUGUUGGUAGACAUUUUUAACUGAAAAAAAAACCAUUGUGGUCAAAUAAAGGAAAAGGACUAAAUUCUAAAUUUAUAAAAAGUACAAAGACUUAUAACAUAUUUCAAUAUUUUUAUAAAAACGUUAUUCGAUAAAUAAUUGAAAUAAUACUAAAAUUUAAAUUUAGAGUGAUUUAAUUUUCUACACAUAUAUUUCUCCCUUUAAAAUUUGGGUUCCUUGUAUUUUCUUAAAUCUUCAACAUCACAAGGCUAUUCAAUUGAUCUUUACUUCGGCUCAACACUCGAAAACCUAGUCUUGAAAGAUUGAAAUGAUUUAUCUUGUUAGUAAAUCAUCGCUCAACACUCGAAAACCUAGUCUUGAAAGAUUGAAAUGAUUUAUCUUGUUAGUAAAUCAUCACUCACUUAGGCCCCUCUUUGGAUCACUGUUGUUUUAUUCUUAUCGAAAAUAAACACACAGCCUAUCCAAAUAUACCCUUAAUUGAAAUUGAAUCUGAAUCGAGUCCUCGCAUUACACUUUCCUCGGCCCUUUAUUCUUGACGGUUGAAUCCAUUGUAAAGUCCUUUGUUUCAAAGCAACAAACUUUAGCUCUGUCUUUUUCUUCAAUUGGGACUUUCCUAUAUGAAAAAAUAUAUAUUUUUCAUAUAUAUAUUUGUAAGACCCAAAUUUUGCCCGGGCCCAUACCAGCCAAAUAAACCCAAAUAAUAAAAACAAAAAAAGUCCAUUUACAUUAAACCAACAGCCCAUAAACUUAAACUCUUUUCAGCUAAAAAAAGAAAGACAAAACAACCCUAGCCGCAGGCCUAGCCACUGGCGCCGCUCCAACUCCCCGCAUGGCGCACGCCCCUGCUCUUAGCCGUCAACCGCCGCAUGCGUACCAGGCCUCCUCCACGCGUGUCAGAACACCUACAAAACAGCAAAAACACGCAACAACGAGCAGCAAUAGGCAAAAAACAAAAAAAAAAGAAACAAAAAGUUGUUUAGAUUGGCUAUAAAGCCAAAAAUCAGAGACUUGUAAUCGUCUUCGACCUCUUUACGAAUCUUGAGAAAUAAAAACAAAAAACAAAACUUUGAGAGGAUUUUCCUUUUAUUUCAAUCUUUCUUUUUUAUCUUGAUUUAUAUAAUUGUUUUUUUUUUAUUUUCAUAAACAAGAAUAAUAAGAAAGAGACUUACCGGAGAGGCCCCGUGACCGCUUUGUCGGAGGGCCGAUCUCCAUCGCAAGGGCUGAAGGUUGGGGAAAGGGAGGCUUCGUUCUCUUUUCUUCUUUGUGGGAAAAGAGGCGCUCCUCCCCGAAACCUGAGAAACGGGCUUAAAGGCCCUGCUUUGUGCGACGUCGGUCGCCGUUCUCGGGGUGCCGCGGCGGCGCGUGGUGGUCUGGCAUUUGGGUUCCUAAGCUAGGCUGAAACCCUAGCAAAGAAAGGGAAAGUCCCUUUUAAAUUUUCUAUUCUAUGUAAAAAAAAUUUGAAACUACUAAACUAAGUGAUUUUUUUUAGCUGUUAUAGUGGAAACGGCGCCGUUUGAGGGAGGGAAUUUGCACAUUCAUGCCCUAAAGGGGUAAUUUCUGCAAUUGGUCCUUUUUC
rnacentral:lncRNA from 1 species